rnacentral:lncRNA from 1 species
CCACGUACGGAAACACUGAUUGAGAUUUACUCAAUAGGAUAGCUAAAACCUGACAGUAGUGAUUUUUUAAAUGUUAGUAGUAAUCCAGAACAAAAGAACAAGGUAAGCAAGUGAAAGAGUCAACUUACCUUUAACAAAAUUUCGUCAUAUGCCAAAAAAGAUUCAUCCCUAAAUGUUUAAUGAAGUGAUGCUUCUGGCACUUUUGGUUCCUCCAUAUCACGCUGCAAUGAACAUGUCCCAUUGGAAAAUUAGAUGUAUAAAAAAAUUAAAAUGGCAGCAAUUACUAUUCAAUAGUGAACAAUCAGGCUAUUAGAACAUACCUAUAUACAGUUGUGUAGCACCAUAACAUCUUAAAUUGGGAUAAAGACAGACAGAGUUCACCAUCAAUAUACAAUCAGGCUUCUGAACAAUAACUACCAGCAGCCCAACAGUACUAAUCAAAUGAAAUAAGAUAAAUUCAGUUACUUUAGAAUAGUAGUACCUGGCCAAUGGUUGGCCGUAUGAAGAAAAAAUAAGGAUCGAGAUGUUUAUGUGAAGAAGAACUGAAGUCAUAUCAUCUCCUGUUGCACAACCAACUACUGGCCAAUGGUUGGCCGUAUGAACAUACAAGUACCAAAACGACAUGGACUGUAAUAGUCUUGAACCUAUAUAGACACGGGUUAUUCUAGAAAUAUAUCUGGAACAUGUUGUACAUGCGGCAUCAAUACUAUGGCUGAAUCAAAUGAUCAAUUAACCCUAAUACAUACUACGAGCACCCACAUAUACAAAACAUGCAAUCAGAAGAAAGAAGAGUACAUCGAGCGGCUUGAAAUGGUUUCCCAUGGUGGC